CAAGCUAAAGUCAUUUUGUUAGUGACAUAUUUGAUGGCCAGAACCCCUAUUCCCGAUAAGCUCAAUAAAAAUUACUUAUGACAGUUUAAACCUCAUUUAGUAUUCAUUGUUUGAUACACCUCAAUGAAGCAGAUAUAAGAGUUUAAUUUCUGUAUAGUAACAGUGUCAGGUCAUCUAAAAGGAUUUAGACCAACUCGACUCGUUCCUUAUCAUGCUUGUGGUUGAAGACAAUUGUGUAUUCAAGUGUGAAUGGGUAUGUGGAUUUUCCUUAUACUGAGUUUAAGAGUUUGUUACUUUAGUUGUUUAUACUGCCGCAUCUUUUUUAAUGUUCGAUACCUUGACUCCUUUGUUUCAAAAACUAUCUACCAUUUCUGUUCUGAAUGGUUAAGGUAAAAUGUGAAUCUCGAGAUUGGAAAGUUGCAUUUUCUCUAUCAUUUCUGAGUAUUGCAUCAUAUUUUCUGAAUGGGUAUGUUAAAUUCUUUGUUCCCAAAAAAGGGCGAAAAGGCCAACUUUAAGAAAAAACCAAAAAUUUGAUUUGAGAUGGACAGAGUAAAUCCAUUGUUGAAACUCAUAUGCAUUCUUCAACAUAUGUAACUUUGGUCUUUGAAGCAGUUUUUAUUUUAACUGAAGUUAUCUAAUCUAUUUGUGGCGAAGACUUCUGAAGUCUUAUAAAUGUGAAAUCUUUAUUCAAAAUGAAGACCAAGCAGGAUCUCCACGGAGGGGGUUCAAAAAAAUAUUUUUGUAGCUAGUGAGAAUUGAACUCAUAACCUUACGUAGAUUUUGAACCCCCUUGACCAUUAAACUACACUUUUGGAUUGUGUUAAGGGUGUUCAAAACUUAAUAUAUAGAGAUAAAAAAUAAAUUUUGCCUUAUAUAUACAGUGUAAUUUUUCGGCGAAGGGUGUUCGGGUGAACACCCUUGCGCCCCCUAAAUCCGCCCCUGUAUCUAACUAGGACCACCAAGAAUGGCAAUUUUUGAAAGGUGCAGUGAAUGUAAGAUGCAGCUUUUGCAGAAGUAUUUACAACAACAACAAACCCACUGUAAUUUCAUAAAUGGGGUAUGGGAAGCAUAGUAUGUAUGCAAAUGUAAAAAAAAUUGGCUUAAAUUAUUAAAUAUUUUAUUUAUAUUUGAAUAUCAGGGUUUAACAAUAGUUCAUAAACGUGAGCCCAAUUAUAAAUGUGAUAAUUGGUUAUCGGGCCGUGCACUUGUGUUUGGUGGGUCUAGUACGGCGGUGAGUAUAGGCUCAACCCGUAAGGCCUGUAAUGGGAGGGCCCAUUGUCCCAUUGACGCUGCCAUAUUGGAAAAAGGGUAUUAGAAAGGAAGACCUAGGCCUUCGUCAAUCUGUGAUACAGCUCAAAUAGGUACACAACCAUUUUUGCUAAUCUUGAUUUAUUUUGUUUCUUAAUAUCAUAUUUGAUCUUGGGUUAUAAUUUGUCAAUAUUCUCACAUGUGGUAUCAGAAACCUAGAGAGCAUGAUUUAGGAUCAAAAUACCUUGAUUAAUAAGGUUUUAUAUUUGUAAAUAAAUCCGAAAUUAGUUGCUGUAAUUUCUUGAUGAAAUUUUUGAAAUUUCGAAUUAGAUGUUAGGGCUUUUAUUCCUCUCAUUUAUAGCUUCGAUUCGAUAUAUGGUUCAUUAAAUUACUAUUAAAAUUGAGGAAGGAAUUAAGAUUUUACAAAACUAGGGUUUCAUAUUUCAAAACGAAGUGAUUUUCGAUUUCGAACCAUUAAAUCUGCUCUUUGAUUCGAUUCAAAGGUUCUUGUGAGUUCCCUGAAUGUUUCUAAACAUUUUUGUUGCUUUUAAUUGAUUUUUACGUCACAAAAAAUCUAGUUUAAGAGUUAGGGUUCUUGGAUUCUUUGAAAGCUUGAAUCCGAAUUUUUGUACCUCAAUUGUAUGGAAUUUGUUAUGCGUUUAGACAAUUUUUUGUUAUAAACAUGUUUAGAAACAUCUUAAGAGCAAUAUCUAUGAAAUUAAUUGAAUCGAAGCUAUUAAAAGUGAGAAAAGUUAAACUGGGUUUACAAAAACGAGUUGAAAAAACCUAAUUUUCCGCAAAAACCUGCAAGAGGUUGAAGAAGCUGAAAUUUUAGCUUUUCAGUGACGCCCACUCUCGGACAGAGGCGUGUUGGGGGCGCGUGGGCCCCCUUAGCUCCAAUUUUGGGGAAAUACUUACCGUAGAAUCCAAACAUUUAUAAUGAUUUUCUGGUAUUUUUUCAUAAUAUUUUGGAAUUCGGGAAGUAUUUCUUUUAGAUUUAUUACUUCUGAGAAUUAAAAAAAUUACAGUAAAUAAUUUUGGCCGUCAAAAUUUCUUAAUUACUGGAAAUUAUUGAAAAUUAUUCUAAAAACAUUGGUAUGCUUCACUCUCCUUUUAUAUCAUUAGAUUAAUUAUUCUCCUAUUUUCGAGUAUAUUAAGCUCACUUUAAUAUUGCAAUAAGAGAAUAUAAUUUCAAAAAUUGAAUUGUUGUUCAAUGUAGCAACUUGAUAUGGCACACACAAUCGUUGCAUAAAGGCAAUAUUAUUAUACACAUAUAAUCCUAUUAAUUAAUAAAAUUACCAGCCCAAAGGAGGGUGAUUUUAUGAAUUAAAUUUUAUGAAAAAGUUGCAUUUUUCCAACAUUUCUGAGUAUUGCAUCAUAUUUUUCUGAAUGGGUAAGUUAAGUUCUCUUUUCCCAGAAAAGGAAGAAAAAGUCAAGUGUUAGAAAGACAAAUCAAAAAAUUGGUUUUAGAUGGACAGAGUAACUCCAUUGUUAAAACUCAUAAGCGUUCUUCUACAGAUGUAACUUUGGUCUUUGGAAUAGUUUUUAUUUUCAAAUUAAGUUAUCUUAUUUGUGGUGAAGACUUCUGAAGUCUUAUAAAUGUGAAAUCUUUAUUCAAAAUGAAGACCUGAGCUACUUUAGACCAAGUCGAGGUAUGUCAAUUAAGAGACUCUUCAUUAGUUAAGUCUACCAAUGUUUUUGUCCUCUUGAGCCCUGAUAAUAGGCUAGAUUUAUAUAAUUUGGUGACUGUUUAUGUCCCAGCUUGAUUAUGUUUCACCGUUAUAAUAUAGUUAAAUGAUGAUGAAUUGGGUUCUAAUUGUGAAUUUCACAUGUUGCAGGAGUGAGUAGCAGGUAUGAGGACUUAAAAUUGUGAUUGGAGCUAAAUUGAAGCAAGAAAAGCCCCUAGGAGCUGAGUACGUGGGAAGAUGAGAGAAAGAAAAGAUGAAAUGAAGACCUGGACUAGCGCGACCGCGCUAGCCCAGAAAGUCGAGGCAGAAUGAUAGGCCAUAUGCGCGGUUAUUAGCGCGGCCACUAGCGCAACCGCGCUAGCCCAGUUCCGGAGAAUUAAACUUCAGGGGUAAACUUGGAAAUUAGGGGGUAAAUCCACUUAACUUAUAGAAGGUCCAGCUCGCCCAAGGAAGGAUUAUCAAGGUUUUCAUAGCUUAGUUCAAGGCAAGGAGAGGCAAGAGGCAAGAAGGAUAAUUCAACAUCGAGUUCUUCCUUUUGUUUUUACUAUUUGUGAUGAAUUUGAAUAUUGUUAUGAUGAACACUAGUAUGAGUAGCUNN
rnacentral:lncRNA from 1 species